rfam:Trametes pubescens strain FBCC735 TRAPTBscaffold_504, whole genome shotgun sequence.
GGCGAGAUGGCCGAGCGGUCUAAGGCGCCAGACUAAGGCGUUGCUUCAAGUGCAGUCCGAUAUCUGGUCCGAAAGGGCGUGGGUUCGAAUCCCACUCUCGUCA